UCCGUAGGUGANCCUGCGGAAGGAUCAUUAUUGAAUUAUGUUUCUAAAUGGGUUGUAGCUGGCUCUUUAG
rnacentral:rRNA from 1 species